UACGGAGGGUGCAAGCGUUAAUCGGAAUUACUGGGCGUAAAGCGCACGCAGGCGGUUGAUUAAGUUAGAUGUGAAAUCCCCGGGCUUAACCUGGGAAUGGCCUCUAAGACUGUCAAGCUUGAGUCUUGUAGAGGGGGGUAGAAUUCCAUGUGUAGCGGUGAAAUGCGUAGAUAUUAGGAGGAAUACCGGUGGCGAAGGCGGCCCCCUGGAUAAAUACUGACGCUCAGGUGCGAAAGCGUGGGGAGCAAACAGG
rnacentral:rRNA from 1 species